ensembl:lncRNA
UGGGAGUUUGCCUCAUGUUUCAUGUACAUGUGCAGUACUAAACCUACCACCCGAACUUUGUCUUCUUAGCAAACUUUCCAGCAUCCUGUAAAACAGAACUUUUCACCAGUCACAUUUGGAUGUAAAUGUGACAGUUUUAAAGCUCAUGAUUGUUCAACCACAUUGGGCCUUUAAUCCUCUGGUGUUUGGUGGGCACAUGCUAGAUUAGCGUCGUAUCAAGGUCAUUCCAGUCCAAAGGUGAAGGCACAACCCCGCCCACCGACACACCCACCCCAAAUUUGAUAAGCUGCUAAAAAUGGAUGGAAUUCUGUGAAGGGCUAACACGUGGCUGAAUGUAACAUUUCACUCACCUGCGCAGUCUACUGCAGACUAAGGGUGCUACACCAUGAUAAACUCUACCUUUGUUAAUAAACCUUGUGGAAGGCAGACAGAUGGAAGAAUAGGGAGCCAGGCUCUUCUCAGCAGGUGUGUGCUGGCGCCCCAGUCGCUACAGCUUCACACUGAACCUGGAUGUCCAAGACGAGGUGAAAGGAUUUUAAAAAGGGAGGCUUCAGAAGACAAAAGGGAAAGCAGAGACUCUGUUCCACUGUUGCAUGUCUAGAUGUGAAUAUUCUCAAAUGCAUACGGGCUAAAACAUUAAACAGUGUUUCUA